AUGUAUAAAAGUAUGGGAAAGAGAAAAGAAUAGAGGCCUCUUGGCUUUAGCUUGAUUGAGCAGUAUACCAGUGAUUGACAUGCCACUUCAUGACCCUAGAGCCCACACACAUCUCCCUCUCCCCAAAUUACUCUUCUCACCCCAUCUAGAGACUAGAAGUUCCCCUGCCCUUUUUGCCCAAGGCCCUCGGUAGUUUUUUGAGAUGGUAGCACCUGGGAAUGGGGAGAAUGUCCCCUAGCAAUCCUGAGGGUGAGUGGUUGGGUAGAGACAGCCCCGGGGCAGGGAAGAUGGUCUCUCCACUGUAGAAAGUAGAGUAGGAUCGUGGUCAGACUUAAUUUGAGGCAUCAAGUGACUCGUACAAAUCACCAAGGAAGAUUCCAAAUGCAGAGUAAAGGUGGGAAAUGAAACAGACCCAUGAGUAAUCAAGUCAAAGUGAAGUUGCACACAAUGCAGAGAAACCAAGAAGGGGGAGGGUUAAUGUAUUAAAUGUGCUAUGGAGAAGUUAAUUUUAUUAAAAGUAUUAUUACUU
rnacentral:lncRNA from 1 species